ACUCAAGAUAAAGGAGUAUCUCAGUCUCUGGAACUCAAGAAAGUCUUAGCUCAGUUCAGCAAGCUUCAUCAAAGUCCAGUCUUUCAAAUCCUGUCCCUUUCAAACCAGUAGGAACAUCCUAUUAUCCACUGGUCCAAAAAUCUUCAAGAUGAUGAAUAUUCAAGCAUGGGCGAGUUCAGUGAAGCUCAAAACUCCAAACUACUCUCUCUGGGUCAGAAUGAUGAAGAAAAACCAUAGAGGCAAAGGUGUUUGGAGCCAUACUUCAGAUGAAGCUCCAUGGAAAAUCUGCAAGGUCUUUGCUCAUGUUAAUGAGAGACAACCAGAAGCUCAGUCUCUGUCCAACAAAUCCUACUUCAAGUUGGAAGAGAAGAAAGGUCAGAAGAGUCAGCACUGCAAGGAAGGACUCACUAAGGAUAGGUGGUGGAUAUUCAAUCCACAUCUGAAACAAAUGUACUUUCAAUAAGCCCCCAUGGGCUGGAGAGUCAAGAAACCAGCUCAGGUUUCUUGAGAUUGUGGUGACAGGUUAUUAAAUGUUAUGUGAUGACCUUUACACAUCAAGCACAAGCUCAAAGCUCACACCCUCUUGAAGACUGCUCAAACCGACUUUCUCAAAUUUACUUCAAUAUGGAGUCAACAAAAGCCACGGUCCUCUCAGUCAUUCUCAGGGUUCCUAUCUGAUCCCCUGGUCGUGUAUGGUGAAGUCAAAUCAGCAAGAAGAAACAUUGAGAAGCCAUUUCAUCUCAUGUUCUUAAAAGCACUCAAAUUCAGCCAUGCUUCAAGGAAAGUUCACAGGCGGAUGAUGUCCAAUAGAACCAAGAAGACCAGGAGGACAGGAGGGGAUCCAAGGGUGAGCUUUACAAACAGGGCCAAACACACAAGGAAAAGGAGUUGGGUAAUGAAUCCAAAACUCAAAUCCACCAAGCUCAGAUGAGUAGUGUGUAUAUGAAGGUUCAAGGAACCAGCCCAGGUUCCUUGGCUGUAAGUUAAACCUCCUAAACCUGAACAAUAGCUUGUGUAAUGUGUCUGGUCGUUUUUGAGUGAUGGUUUAGAGUCCAAUGGAUCAUGAUAAGUUGCUAGAAGUUGCAUUUUGUCUUAAUCUUAUCAUCUGUGGUUGUUUUUGUUCCUAGAAGUGUCUGCCUAGGUUGUCAUGCAUCCAUGAUAUAUUGAUAUCGAUUGGGAGUCCUUUAAUUGUCAUGUCUGCCUUGAGAUUGUUAAGUAUCUAGGAGUGUUCCUAGAUGUGUGGUGUAUUCAUGCUGUUGUUGAAAUUGAUUAGGUUAUUAGCCUAGUCUUCUUUAGCAUCUGGAUUGUCUUAAAAAUGCAUAUUGGAUUGUAUUAAAGAGGCAUACAUAUUGUUCCUGGUGCAUUCAUAUUGUUUCUAAAGCUGUCAUAGGAGGUGAUAAGCUGUUUUGCAAUCUGUUUUUUUUUAAGCAGUGGCGACCAGUCUUCAUUUUAUUACAUGAUCUGGUCCCAUGCUGAUGUUACUGAUCCCUAUCUGAGUUGUAAUGGUGUGUAGGACACAUGAUGUGACUAUUAGACCAGAAGCAGCAACAGGAAAAGAGAUAUACCCAUGUUGAUCAGAGCCUGCACAAGAUGCAUAUUCCUGAACAUGGAGAAAAGAGACCAUGUUGUUCAGAGCCUACACUUGGUGUAUAUUACUGACCAUGGAGAGACAUCUUAUGAGUGGAAUCAGUUGGCUUAAGCGCAGGCGUAGGAGCUGUUGUGCUCCUGGUUCAAGAGACUCACAAGGAAGGCCAUCACCUAAGUCAUGAGGAGACUGGUGGUCCAAAGACAUUGGAGCUGAAGGCAAAUGGUGAUCCAGUUGGCUUAAGCGCAGAUGUUGGUAUUGUUGUGCUCCUGGAAGAUGGUGAACUGGUUGGCUUAAGCGCAGAUGUUGGUAUUGUUGUGCUCCCAGUUCAAAACUCAUUGAAGCUCACGUUCAAGCUUGUCACUAUACUCAGUCAAGCUUGAGGAGGGGAAUAUCAGUGAGCUACCAAAAGAUCCAUGAAGCUUAUUAUAUCCAGUGUCCCAUUUCCUCAUAGAAGACCAGCAAGAGGUUGGCAAAUUAAAAGAGGACUUAAGUGAUCAGUCUGAAGAAGCUGUCACUCCUCACUGUUCUUACCAGCCAGAUGCAAGGAUUAUUCAAUCAGGGACAUUCUUGGCUAAGCAAUCACAUGAUGGUGGCAAAUUAUGGAGUUGCAAAGUCCCCCUACAUGUUGAAACUUCAAGAGAACAAUGCAAAGGCUGGUUGAGAGAAGGAAUGGCGUGGAGGAUUCAAGUGCUCUGCACUCCUCAUCAACAUUCCAGAAACUAAUGCAAGGGGAGUACCUAAAACCAUCCUUAUUCUUAUGUGAGAAUAGGUUUUCCCCUUGAGAAUUGAUACAUGCAUUCUUUGUAUGAUUGAAUCAGGUACCUAUUGAGCUCAUGAACAAAGGCAAGCUUUGUCUCAACCCCUAAAUAGAGGCAAGAAGCCAGAAGAAAGGGGGAGACAAGCUCAGGUCAUAAGAAGAAGCUCAAAGGUGAUUUGAUGGUGAAGGAAUUGGCGCCAAUCCAAGUUUGCAAGUAGUGGAUUCACUCUUGCAUUACUCAGUACCAACCGUGUGAUUGAGCUCACCAUUCUUAUAAAAGGGAAGCACCUUAAACUCAUCUCAAUACAUUCAUGAUUGUCCUUAUACUUAAACUAUUAUUGAGUUUGAUGUGAUGAGUGCAUUUCCUUAAGAACUGAUGCACUUUUGAAAUGAUGUAUCAGGUACCAAAAUAAGCUUGAGCCUCACUGAAGAUGAUGAUGAUGAUCCGGUCAUGUCCUAGCCUUCCUAAGGUAGCUUGAAGCCAGUUGAGAGAGAGAGAGACCCUAAACCGGCCACAAAAUGAUCCAGCCGGCCACUUGUGCUCAAGGAUAGCAAGUUAUGGUGAUUCAUACUUGCUAUACCUAUUAGGCCACGAUCCAGAGCCUAAGGACUCCACCAUGAUGAAUCUGAAGUUCCUUAGGCUCACUGGCCAAUCCCUAAGCUUUGUAGAAACUCCACUCUUUUUCCCUUAGCAAGUUUUGUCCCAAUGGGUUUUCUUGCUAAGGUUUUUAAUGAGGGAGCUUCUUCAAGGUUCCAAGCUUGUCCAAGGAUCUCCUAUGGUCAAGCUUGAGGGGGAGUGUUGAAAUGAAGAAGGGAAUGACCA